AUGAACGCUGGCGGCGUGCCUAACACAUGCAAGUCGAGCGAACAGACGAGGAGCUUGCUCCUCUGACGUUAGCGGCGGACGGGUGAGUAACACGUGGAUAACCUACCUAUAAGACUGGGAUAACUUCGGGAAACCGGAGCUAAUACCGGAUAAUAUAUUGAACCGCAUGGUUCAAUAGUGAAAGACGGUUUUGCUGUCACUUAUAGAUGGAUCCGCGCCGCAUUAGCUAGUUGGUAAGGUAACGGCUUACCAAGGCGACGAUGCGUAGCCGACCUGAGAGGGUGAUCGGCCACACUGGAACUGAGACACGGUCCAGACUCCUACGGGAGGCAGCAGUAGGGAAUCUUCCGCAAUGGGCGAAAGCCUGACGGAGCAACGCCGCGUGAGUGAUGAAGGUCUUCGGAUCGUAAAACUCUGUUAUUAGGGAAGAACAAAUGUGUAAGUAACUAUGCACGUCUUGACGGUACCUAAUCAGAAAGCCACGGCUAACUACGUG
rnacentral:rRNA from 1 species